ACGACACAACUCUCAAAACUCUUAAAUUCUACUGUUUGGGAAUUACCCAAUCUCUCUCCUCUCAUUGCUUGCUGCACGCCAGGAGAAAAAGAAGACUUGGAAUAAAGCUUUUUGAAGGAAUAUAAGAAGAUCUAGAGGAAACCAUCCCCAUAGAAAGGUACUUAAGUAUUUAAACCUUUUAAGAUUAAAGAAGAUAGGAGAAAGGUUCGAGUAAUAACUAGGGGGGAUUAAGGGUUGUAAUUGAUUGCAGGAAAAACCAAGAACGUGGGGUGACUGCUUCCUUGAUUAGUAUGGUCGUGUGGGACGACGUUUUUUGUGGAGUCUUUUGUUAUGUUUGUCUCCUAAUUGAUCUCUGUCUCUAUGGAGAGUAACUUAAUAUAUGUACUUUUGAAUGGAAUUUUAAAGUUAAAGGUUGGUAGUGUGGUAAGAAAAACAACUUUAACUACUUGAUCUUAAGUAAGUUGUAAUUUAGCACUUGUACCAUGUGACAGCUCCAAUUGACUUAAGUAUAUUUCUGCGACACGCAUAAAGGUUAUUAUUAUAUUUCUAAAUUUGUGGGGUUGUUACAGUAAUAUUGUUCUAUACUUCUAUUGUUGUUUUCUUUCUUUAUAUAUUUUUUCGGAAGCAAGUAUAGCAAUAAUUAUGAUUUCAAAAAAAA